rnacentral:rRNA from 1 species
AGAGUUUGAUCAUGGCUCAGAUUGAACGCUGGCGGCAGGCUUCACACAUGCAAGUCGAACGGUAACAGGGAGAAAGCUUGCUUUCUUUGCUGACGGGUGGCGGACGGGUGAGUAAUGCUUGGGAAUCUGGCUUAUGGAGGGGGAUAACUACGGGAAACUGUAGCUAAUACCGCGUAAUAUCUUCGGAUUAAAGGGUGGGACCGUAAGGCCACCUGCCAUAAGAUGAGCCCAAGUGGGAUUAGGUAGUUGGUGGGGUAAAGGCCUACCAAGCCGACGAUCUCUAGCUGGUCUGAGAGGAUGACCAGCCACACUGGAACUGAGACACGGUCCAGACUCCUACGGGAGGCAGCAGUGGGGAAUAUUGCACAAUGGGGGGAACCCUGAUGCAGCCAUGCCGCGUGAAUGAAGAAGGCCUUCGGGUUGUAAAGUUCUUUCGGUGAUGAGGAAGGCGGUUGUUUUAAUAGAACAAUCGAUUGACGUUAGUCACAGAAGAAGCACCGGCUAACUCCGUGCCAGCAGCCGCGGUAAUACGGAGGGUGCGAGCGUUAAUCGGAAUGACUGGGCGUAAAGGGCACGCAGGCGGUGACUUAAGUGAGAUGUGAAAGCCCCGGGCUUAACCUGGGAAUUGCAUUUCAUACUGGGUUGCUAGAGUAUUUUAGGGAGGGGUAGAAUUCCACGUGUAGCGGUGAAAUGCGUAGAGAUGUGGAGGAAUACCGAAGGCGAAGGCAGCCCCUUGGGAAUAUACUGACGCUCAUGUGCGAAAGCGUGGGGAGCAAACAGGAUUAGAUACCCUGGUAGUCCACGCUGUAAACGCUGUCGAUUUGGGGAUUGGGCUUUGAGCUUGGUGCCCGUAGCU